UGGAUCCAGACUUUGAUCAUGGCUCAGGAUGAACGCCGGCGGCAUGCCUAAUACAUGCAAGUCGAACGAGAGGAAGGAAAGCUUGCUUUUCUGAAUCUAGUGGCGAACGGGUGAGUAACACGUAGGUAACCUGCCCAUGUGCCCGGGAUAACUUCUGGAAACGGAUGCUAAAACCGGAUAGGUAGCAGACAAGCAUUUGACUGCUAUUAAAGUGGCUAUGGCCAUGAACAUGGAUGGACCUGCGGUGCAUUAGCUAGUUGGUGAGGUAACGGCCCACCAAGGCGACGAUGCAUAGCCGGCCUGAGAGGGCGGACGGCCACAUUGGGACUGAGACACGGCCCAAACUCCUACGGGAGGCAGCAGUAGGGAAUUUUCGUCAAUGGGGGGAACCCUGAACGAGCAAUGCCGCGUGAGUGAGGAAGGUCUUCGGAUCGUAAAGCUCUGUUGUAAGAGAAAAACGGCACUCAUAGGGAAUGAUGAGUGAGUGAUGGUAUCUUACCAGAAAGUCACGGCUAACUACGUGCCAGCAGCCGCGGUAAUACGUAGGUGGCGAGCGUUAUCCGGAAUGAUUGGGCGUAAAGGGUGCGUAGGUGGCAGAUCAAGUCUGGAGUAAAAGGUAUGGGCUCAACCCGUACUGGCUCUGGAAACUGAUCAGCUAGAGAACAGAAGAGGACGGCGGAACUCCAUGUGUAGCAGUAAAAUGCGUAGAUAUAUGGAAGAACACCGGUGGCGAAGGCGGCCGUCUGGUCUGGAUUCUGACACUGAAGCACGAAAGCGUGGGGAGCAAAUAGGAUUAGAUACCCUAGUAGUCCACGCCGUAAACGAUGAGAACUAGGUGUUGGGGGAAUAACUCAGUGCCGCAGUUAACGCAAUAAGUUCUCCGCCUGGGGAGUAUGCACGCAAGUGUGCAACUCAAAGGAAUUGACGGA
rnacentral:rRNA from 1 species